ACAGCCACAUCACGUUGAAAUGCCAGUUCCUGUAACAUCACCAAAGUUAAACAACAUCAAGCCUGGUCAGUACUUAAUUGGGUGACCACAUGGGAAUACCAGGUGCUGUAAG